rnacentral:rRNA from 1 species
AUGCUCUCUUGGGGGCUAUUUCUGAAUCUUUUAACUAGCAGUACUUUUGAUAUAGCCGAGCAUGGUAUACACCGUCUGCAGCAUGGACGGCACGACGAAAAUUGCGGCCGCCGCGAGAAGCGAGACGGCCACCCACGGCGACGGGAAGAAGUGCAGCACGAACCCGCCGCACCACCAGCUCACCCGCCGCCUUCGGUGGCACGCCACCGCGUCGACCAUCUCGCCGAACUCAUCCGGCAGCCUCGCGCCGACUGUCUGCGCCCCGAGCUCCCGGAAGAAGUAGACAAGUUCCGCGUCCGUCAGCCGCGUGGCGGAAAGGACACCUCGCCGGCGCAGAAACGUCGCGUCCUGCGGGCAUCGCACGAGUCCCUCCAUCCGGGCGACGUGCGUCGUCACGCAUGCGCCGUGCGCCCAGUGGAACCGCAUCUCGAAGGCCAGCAUGUUGUACAGCACCGCCGCGCUGUACUCGUGGACGUGGAAGCACGGGAUGCUCAUCACCGCCACGGGGCUCGCCGGCCGGCUCCAGAACGACAUGUCGAGGUCGCCUUGGCAGGUCGACGCCGCCGCCUGCCGGAACCACACCGCCGAGUGCCGCAGCUCCACGGAGCAGGGGAACAGCCGCUCCGACUCCUUCUUGAUCUUGAGGAGCUUCAGUGGCGUCGAGAGGAUGCAGUAUUUGUUAGCCGGCACGCGGGACCAGUGGAAGAGGUGCAGGACGUGAUGGAACUCUGCGCCCGCGGCGUCGCGGGCGAGGCACGCCCGCUUCGGGCAGAUGUCCUCGAAGCAGCCGAGUACCACCUCCUCGACGGAGUGGCGGAGCUUCAGCCUGCCGCAGGAGGCGACGAGCAGCUUCACGGCGGCGAAGGGGACCUGGUUCUCGAGCAACAGCAUGUCGAGCUUGAUCUGCUCGGCGUGCUGCGCCACGGCCAUGUGCAGUAUGAAGUACUCCCGGUUGAUGGACGCCGCCCGCGCCGCGCUGUCGGCGUCCUCGCCGACGCCAGUCUUGCUGAGCAUCAUGCUCACGACGAGGACGAAGCAGCUGUCCAGGAGCAGCAUCUGCAGGAACUUCUCCUCGUCGUCCAGCAGCGCCUUGUCCGUCCCCGCGUCCGCGUCGUCGUCGGCGAACUCGUCGCGGAGGCGGUCGCGCUCCGCCGACAGCGCCGCCACGUACGCGUCGACGUCGAGCCCGCACUGGUCCUGCAGGUACCGCAUGAACGGGAGCUUGGCGUCGUCGGGGAAGGGGAGGCCCCGGUCGCCGCGGUGGAACGGACCGAUGGCCACAGCGCGCACCGCGUGGAGCGCCUCGGCGCCCGCGGCGCGGCGGGUGCGCGGGCGGAGUAUGGUGCCCGAGCGCUCGGCGAGGUACCACAGCAUGGGCGUCCGUGCGAUGAGGUCCCUCAUCACGGCCUUGUUCACAGUCGCCGACGUGAGCUUGCGCAGCCACUUCCGCCCGGCCUCGCCGUCGACGGCGUCCGAUGA